AACUGAAACAUCUAAGUACCCCGAGGAAAAGAAAUCAACCGAGAUUCCCCCAGUAGCGGCGAGCGAACGGGGAGCAGCCCAGAGUCUGAAUCAGCUUGUGUGUUAGUGGAACGGUCUGGAAAGUCCGACGGUACAGGGUGAUAGUCCCGUACACCAAAAUGCACAGGCUGUGAACUCGAAGAGUAGGGCGGGACACGUGGUAUCCUGUCUGAAUAUGGGGGGACCAUCCUCCAAGGCUAAAUACUCCUGACUGACCGAUAGUGAACCAGUACCGUGAGGGAAAGGCGAAAAGAACCCCGGCGAGGGGAGUGAAAAAGAACCUGAAACCGUGUACGUACAAGCAGUGGGAGCACCUUCGGGUGUGACUGCGUACCUUUUGUAUAAUGGGUCAGCGACUUAUAUUCUGUAGCAAGGUUAACCGUAUAGGGGAGCCGCAGGGAAACCGAGUCUUAACUGGGCGUUAAGUUGCAGGGUAUAGACCCGAAACCCGGUGAUCUAGCCAUGGGCAGGUUGAAGGUUGGGUAACACUAACUGGAGGACCGAACCGACUAAUGUUGAAAAAUUAGCGGAUGACUUGUGGCUGGGGGUGAAAGGCCAAUCAAACCGGGAGAUAGCUGGUUCUCCCCGAAAGCU
rnacentral:rRNA from 1 species